GAUGAACGCUGGCGGCGUGCUUAACACAUGCAAGUCGAACGGAAAGGCUCCUGCUUGCAGGGGUACUCGAGUGGCGAACGGGUGAGUAACACGUGGGUGAUCUGCCCUGCACUUCGGGAUAAGCCUGGGAAACUGGGUCUAAUACCGGAUAGGACCACAUUUUGGAUGGUGUGGUGGAAAGUUUUUCGGUGUGGGAUGAGCUCGCGGCCUAUCAGCUUGUUGGUGGGGUAAUGGCCUACCAAGGCGUCGACGGGUAGCCGGCCUGAGAGGGUGUACGGCCACAUUGGGACUGAGAUACGGCCCAGACUCCUACGGGAGGCAGCAGUGGGGUAUAUUGCACAAUGGGCGCAAGCCUGAUGCAGCGACGCCGCGUGGGGGAUGACGGCCUUCGGGUUGUAAACUCCUUUCGCUAGGGACGAAGCGCAAGUGACGGUACCUGGAGAAGAAGCACCGGCUAACUACGUG
rnacentral:rRNA from 1 species